CUACGGGAGGCAGCAGUGGGGAAUAUUGCGCAAUGGGGGAAACCCUGACGCAGCGACGCCGCGUGAGCGAAGAAGGCCUUAGGGUUGUAAAGCUCUGUUUUAAGGGACGAAUGUUACGGGGAGUAAUAUGCCCUGUAAAUGACGGUACCUUAAGAGGAAGCCCCGGCUAACUACGUGCCAGCAGCCGCGGUAAGACGUAGGGGGCGAGCGUUGUCCGGAAUUACUGGGCGUAAAGAGCACGUAGGCGGGAACUUAAGUCAGGUGUGAAAGACCGGGGCUCAACUCCGGGGUGGCACUUGAAACUGGGUUUCUUGAGGGCAGGAGAGGAAAGCAGAAUUCCUGGUGUAGCGGUGAAAUGCGUAGAAAUCAGGAGGAAUACCAGUGGCGAAGGCGGCUUUCUGGACUGACCCUGACGCUGAGGUGCGAAAGCGUGGGUAGCAAACAGGAUUAGAUACCCCGGUAGA
rnacentral:rRNA from 1 species